UGCAGUCNNNNGGCAGCGGGUCCUUNCGGGANGCCGGCGAGUGGCGAACGGGUAAGUAAUGCAUCGGAACGUGCUCAGUCGUGGGGGAUAACUACUCGAAAGAGUAGCUAAUACCGCAUACGACCUGAGGGUGAANGCGGGGGACCGCAAGGCCUCGCGCGAUUGGAGCGGCCGAUGUCGGAUUAGCUGGUUGGUGGGGUAAAGGCUUACCAAGGCGACGAUCCGUAGCUGGUCUGAGAGGACGACCAGCCACACUGGGACUGAGACACGGCCCAGACUCCUACGGGAGGCAGCAGUGGGGAAUUUUGGACAAUGGGCGCAAGCCUGAUCCAGCCAUGCCGCGUGCGGGAAGAAGGCCUUCGGGUUGUAAACCGCUUUUGUCAGGGAAGAAAAGCUCUGGGCUAAUACCUCGGAGUGAUGACGGUACCUGAAGAAUAAGCACCGGNNNNNNNCGUGCCAGCAGCCGCGGUAAUACGUAGGGUGCNAGCGUUAAUCGGAAUUACUGGGCGUAAAGCGUGCGCAGGCGGUUGUGCAAGACAGAUGUGAAAUCCCCGGGCUUAACCUGGGAACUGCAUUUGUGACUGCACGGCUAGAGUGUGGCAGANGGGGGAUGGAAUUCCGUGUGUAGCAGUGAAAUGCGUANNUAUGCGGANGAACACCGAUGGCGANNCAAUCCCCUGGGCCUGCACUGACGCUCAUGCACGAAAGCGUGGGGGAGCAAACANGAUUANNUACCCUGGUAGUCCACGCCCUAAACGANGUCNNCUGGUUGNUGGGGAUUCAUUUCCUCAGUAAC
rnacentral:rRNA from 1 species